AUGAGUAAUUUAUUUCAGUGAGCAGGAAGGCUGAGUUGUGUGUUUUUUUCUCUCUCUUAAUCAUUUCAAGAAUUAUAUUUUUUAAAAGAAGGGAAAUAAAUGAUAUUUUGCAGUACUUUUAUUUGCAGUAUUUUUAAUAAAAUGCUGCCAUUUCAGAUCAUAAUCUUUAUCUCUAUAGAUAUAUUUUUCAAGAACAUAGAAAGAAGAGGAUAGCUGUCACUGAUUAAGACAAUACAACACAGGACAACAAAGCGCCUGUAAAUUUACCCACAUGGAAAAGGAAUUCUCUGCAGGGACAUACAAAGAUUUCCCAGAUGACACACAGCUCUAUUUCCUUCUCUUGCAUCAUGCAGCCUCUAAAGUAUAUGCUUUCACCUAGAACAAGCAACUCCCUUUUUUCACUGCUUGAGAACAGAUGAUAUUUCAAAAGAGGCCUUCUGGACCUGCAACCCACCUUUUCAAAAACCUUCCCUGAAAGGAAGACUGGAUGAAAAUUGUUGGGUUCAACAAUGACUUCCUGAAGAGGGAUAAUAUACAACCACCUCCUUCAAGGCAACACUCUCUCCCCCAAGGAGGAUAACACCACUUCACCUCUCAAUUGUCCUUCCCAAAGCUAUGAGGGGGACAUAUCCCAAUAAAUAAAUGGCUGAAAACAAUCCAAUAUAAAA